GAUGAACGCUGGCGGCGUGCCUAAUACAUGCAAGUCGAGCGAACAGACGAGGAGCUUGCUCCUCUGACGUUAGCGGCGGACGGGUGAGUAACACGUGGAUAACCUCCCUAUAAGACUGGGAUAACUUCGGGAAACCGGAGCUAAUACCGGAUAAUAUAUUGAACCGCAUGGUUCAAUAGUGAAGGACGGUUUUGCUGUCACUUAUAGAUGGAUCCGCGCCGCAUUAGCUAGUUGGUAAGGUAACGGCUUACCAAGGCAACGAUGCGUAGCCGACCUGAGAGGGUGAUCGGCCACACUGGAACUGAGACACGGUCCAGACUCCUACGGGAGGCAGCAGUAGGGAAUCUUCCGCAAUGGGCGAAAGCUUGACGGAGCAACGCCGCGUGAGUGAUGAAGGUCUUCGGAUCGUAAAACUCUGUUAUUAGGGAAGAACAAAUGUGUAAGUAACUAUGCACGUCUUGACGGUACCUAAUCAGAAAGCCACGGCUAACUACGUG
rnacentral:rRNA from 1 species